GGUCGACUCGCGAUGCUCUAGAUUAGCGAGAACUUACCUACUCUUGACAUCCUGCGAACUUGGUAGAGAUACCUUGGUGCCUUCGGGAACGCAGAGACAGGUGCUGCAUGGCUGUCGUCAGCUCGUGUUGUGAAAUGUUGGGUUAAGUCCCGUAACGAGCGCAACCCUUGUCCUUAGUUGCCAUCAUUUAGUUGGGGACUCUAAGGAGACUGCCGGUGACAAACCGGAGGAAGGUGGGGAUGACGUCAGGUCAUCAUGGCCCUUACGGCCAGGGCUACACACGUGCUACAAUGGCGCGUACAGAGGGCUGCCAACUCGCGAGAGUGAGCCAAUCCCUUAAAACGCGUCGUAGUCCGGAUCGGAGUCUGCAACUCGACUCCGUGAAGUCGGAAUCGCUAGUAAUCGUGAAUCAGAAUGUCACGGUGAAUACGUUCCC
rnacentral:rRNA from 1 species